rnacentral:lncRNA from 10 species
AGCAAGAUAGCAGAAGCGGGAAGAGAGCCGGCGGGAAGACACCUACCCUGGCCGGAAGACAGCUACCCUGGCUGGAAAACACGUACCCCUGAAGAUCUGAAGAUCGAGAAAGACGCCGUGCGGGUACUAUGUAGCAGUCAGGUCAAGGAGCAUCUGUAGCUGCUUGGAUCUACAUUAACCUCAUUUAUCUAUACCCUACCUAUGUGAGUCUUGGAAACUUGUCUCAUAUAAACAAUGAGCUAGCCUAAAAAAGGGGACUUUGACAAUUGCUUCAUCGGUCUUUGUCACUCUGGAAAUAUCAGCAUCUGCAUGUUGAAAAAGGUCUCAUUAUAUUAGCUUUCCAUAAGCUGUCACCUGAUUAUAAGACCUCUUUUGCACCUUCCCAGAACUUUCCUGCUAUGUUUAUCUGAGUUUUGUGGUAACAUACGAGACUUACCUUUGAAUGUAUAAAACUGGCUAGUUUUACAUGAUCUGAACUUGAGAAGCGGUUUCUUAGGUUUCAAGACAACAUGCUAAAUACAUAGGACCAUCUACUGGCAAAGGAUGAUAUAGUCCUAAGGACUGGUUUUGUUGGAACUUGUAAUAGCCCAAGUUAAAGAUCAUGAAGAUUGUGAAGCCCAAAAGUGUAUUAUUGAGGGAAUCCUGCUGCCAGAAUAUGCUUAUCACUUAAAUUGCAACAGAGUGGUCUUAGAUAGAAAAUACAAGAGCUGAGAAGAUACUACAAAACAACAUUUUGUUUAUACCCUACAAAGAUUUGGUGAAGUCUGUAAAUGCAAUGAUUUGUGCCUACUUGGUAAGUACUAAUAAUAAAUCCAGCUGUUGACUUUUUGUCUGACUGAGGGCAUUCAUUUUCCUAAUUUUCAAUGGUCACAAGCAUCUUCGGACAGGGACCAAAUUUUAUUUAGUAAUAGAACUUAGCACAGUGCCUGGCA